rnacentral:rRNA from 1 species
UACGUAGGCAGCAAGCGUUGUUCGGAGUUACUGGGCGUAAAGGGUGCGUAGGCGGCUUUUUAAGUCUGGUGUGAAAUCUCCCGGCUCAACUGGGAGGGUGCGCCGGAUACUGAGGGGCUAGAGUGUGGGAGAGGAAAGUGGAAUUCCUGGUGUAGCGGUGAAAUGCGUAGAUAUCGGGAGGAACACCAGUGGCGAAGGCGGCUUCCUGGCCUGCAACUGACGCUGAGACGCGAAAGCGUGGGGAGCGAACCGG